rnacentral:lncRNA from 1 species
ACAAAACAGAGUGCGCGCGUGGCGUGUAGCUGGGGUGCACAAUGCUGGGAAUGUGGGUCAGUGACACAGUGGAAGAAAAUCCCCAGUGCUGUGCUCACACAGCAGCACAAGGCUCCCUGACAGCACUGACUGAAGACCCCCGAGGCUGCCGGCUCCUUUGCGAGGCAUCUGACCAACGGUCCAGGCUGUACAGCAUCUCGUGUCUCAUGUGCAGAUCCUGAACCUGCUAUGUAGCUUGGGAUUAUCAGACAGCUAUCCCGGAGUAUGAAGUACAGAAACAGAAAUGAGAGACGGCCUCAAGCUGAAGAGAUGGCUUAGAGGUGAAGAGCACAAACUAGUCUUCCAGACUCUGAUUCCCAGAGCCCACAUCAGAUGGCUCAAACCACAUGUAACCCCAGGUCCAUCAGGCCUCCGUGGGUGCCCGCAUCGAGUGUGUGCUCAUGUUCACACACAUGCACAUGUAUACAGAUGCUCAUGUGGACAGAGUAAGUUGGAGUUGCCUGAUGUCAGUGCUGGGGCCACACCAGUGCCCCGCGAGCACAGCAGGAGCUUUUAGCCCCGAGCCAGUUCUCCGGGCCCCCAAGUUAUGC